UCGCGGCAGCUGGAGCUCUUCAGAAUGGGCUGAACGUUUCCAAGGAUUCCGCAUUUUUUAACAUUGUAGCUUUGCACUAUUGCACUGUAGUGUCACCCUAUGGUGACGCCUCAUUUUAUGGUGACAGUCUGUUAAGGUGAUCCACAAAUUAUUUGACCGCUAAUUUGGUAAUAUGGUGCUAAUUAAGGAUGUAAGGAUGGUUUAAGGAUAUACAAUAAAAGCAUCUCCAAAUAAAGUUGCACAGUUGUACUACAGUAAAUUCUCAAGAAAAAGGUCAAUUUUGAAAAUAUAACGGAAGGCAAUUUCAUUUAUCAUAAAUGUUUUCUAAGAAGAACACGCCUUAUC